rnacentral:rRNA from 1 species
AUUGAACGCUGGCGGCACGCUUUACACAUGCAAGUCGAACGGUAACAGGGAGCUUGCUCCGCUGACGAGUGGCGAACGGGUGAGUAAUGCGUCGGAACGUGCCGAGUAGUGGGGGAUAACGCAUCGAAAGGUGUGCUAAUACCGCAUACGUACUGAGGUAGAAAGUGGGGGACCUUCGGGCCUCACGCUAUUCGAGCGGCCGACGUCUGAUUAGCUGGUUGGUGAGGUAAAGGCUCACCAAGGCGACGAUCAGUAGCGGGUCUGAGAGGAUGAUCCGCCACACUGGGACUGGGACACGGCCCAGACUCCUACGGGAGGCAGCAGUGGGGAAUUUUGGACAAUGGGCGAAAGCCUGAUCCAGCCAUGCCGCGUGUCUGAAGAAGGCCUUCGGGUUGUAAAGGACUUUUGUCAGGGAGGAAAUCCCUAGUGCUAAUAACACUGGGGGAUGACAGUACCUGAAGAAUAAGCACCGGCUAACUACGUGCCAGCCGCCGCGGUAAUAC